rnacentral:rRNA from 1 species
UACGGAGGGUGCAAGCGUUAUCCGGAAUCAUUGGGUUUAAAGGGUCUGCAGGCGGUCUUAUAAGUCAGUGGUGAAAGCCUACAGCUCAACUGUAGAACUGCCAUUGAUACUGUAAGACUUGAAUUCGAUCGAAGUGGGCGGAAUAUGACAUGUAGCGGUGAAAUGCUUAGAUAUGUCAUAGAACACCGAUAGCGAAGGCAGCUCACUAGGUCUGGAUUGACGCUCAGGGACGAAAGCGUGGGGAGCGAACAGG